UCAAUCUCAACUUCUCUCUUUCGUCUUCUUCUUUCCUCGGAGAAACCGAGAAACAGAUCUUGAAAGCCAAACUUCUCUCUUUUUUCUUAUUCUCAAUCUCAAUUUAUCUCCUCCGGCCAUCUCCCUGCCUUGCUCAAUCUCCAUUUAUCUUCAUGCCUAUCCCUGCUCAGCCUCUAUCCAAGCCUGCCGUCGUUAGCAUCAGUCGCCAUUGUCGUGGAGAUCUGAGAAGGAAAAGAGAUGAAACGGGAAGGAGAAGGAGAAGAUACGCCGGAGGUCGUAGUGCGACGGAGGAAACGCGUCGGAGGUGAUGGUGUGACUGAAAGAGCGCCGGAGGUGAUGGUGUGAAAGAGAAGACGCGCCGGAGGUGGUAUUGGGACGGAGCAGACACGCCGGAGCUGGUGGUGCGAAGAAGGAAACACAACGGAGUUGAUGGUGAAGCGCGGAAGCUGCGGCUGUGGAGGUGCUGAAGCCGACGGUGACGUCUCCGGAAGAACCCUAUACCCGUAUAGAUACGAUGUAUUUGUGUGUAUAUAUGCAUUUAUCUUUAUAUUUAUGUAUAUAUGUGUAUUUUGUAUAAUAUAUUAAAUAAUAAUUUUAAAAUAAAAAAUUUAUACUGU